AACGAACGCUGGCGGCAUGCCUAACACAUGCAAGUCGAACGAGCCCUUCGGGUCUAGUGGCGCACGGGUGCGUAACGCGUGGGAACCUGCCCUUAGGUUCGGAAUAACUCCCCGAAAGGGGUGCUAAUACCGGAUAAUGUCUUCGGCCCAAAGAUUUAUCGCCUUUGGAUGGGCCCGCGUUGGAUUAGCUAGUUGGUAGGGUAAAAGCCUACCAAGGCGACGAUCCAUAGCUGGUCUGAGAGGAUGAUCAGCCACACUGGGACUGAGACACGGCCCAGACUCCUACGGGAGGCAGCAGUGGGGAAUAUUGGACAAUGGGCGAAAGCCUGAUCCAGCAAUGCCGCGUGAGUGAUGAAGGCCUUAGGGUUGUAAAGCUCUUUUACCCGGGAUGAUAAUGACAGUACCGGGAGAAUAAGCUCCGGCUAACUCCGUG
rnacentral:rRNA from 1 species